rnacentral:lncRNA from 1 species
GGAAGAACUCAAAUCCUGGAAGCUCAGAGAUGUUACCUUCAUUGUCCACACUAAUCGGGUAGCGCAGCAAGUGGCCCGGAAGGUCAUGUUCUAGUGACUCACUUGAGUAAAAGUCCCAGUACUUAUCAGCAAUGCGGUUAACUUUCUCAAUGCAUUCCAAGCUUGAGGGAUCUAGGAAGGUCUCAUCAAGCAUUCCCAAGUGUUCGUACCAGAGUGACAUACGGAAUCCAUGGACCUGGCCACGAGCUGGUUGUCUAUGUGACAAGUGAUGUGGUUGAUACCCUCCCAUUGCUAUCUCAGAGUC